GGCUGUGGAACCAGGAGAAGGUCUGAGGAACGGAGCUCCCGGAAGUAAAGGCAUUGCCUCACAUUUGAGUGCAUGAGGAGAAGUAAGGAAGAUUCUAUCACACUCUUGCUGUCAAUGGUUACAAGCCAUAGCUCAGAACACCUGGCAACAGUACUUAAGGAAGGAAAGGUUUGCACUGGCCCGCAGUCUGAAGGAGGACAGAGGACACAAGGCAAUGAGAGCAGCUCUAGGUGUAGCCGUGGGAGCCCGAUAUAGCUGGACGCGCUGCAUCUGAAGGAUUUGUGGUCAGAAGCACGAGGUGGAGAAGUCCUGAUACAAUCUUUGUACUGUACGGUUGCCGUCUGGACUUCAUUGACUAUCCCGGAGCGAUCCAGCACAAGUGACAAGUGAAGACCUUGGCUGUGUUUCAGAAGCACAAUUACAACUCUUGGGGUAAAGAGCCUCAGCGACAAGGCCCAGGAAAGCAGGUGUAUUGAGAAUUAGAGGUAGUCACAGGGGAUGAAACAUAAAAUCAACGUGCCAGAGGUUGACCUGGGCUCUUCCACCCUCACUGUGAUCUUCAGUUUCGCUGCGUGCACUCAAGGCACAAACCUGGGAUUUGAGAUUUCAAGCUGUGUCUGUAAACUUAUUUUCAGAGACUCGGAGCGGGCCCCAGAGGAGAGGUAGGGAGUGGUCCUGGCAGCUGUUGGAUGAAGCAGGUUGGAAGGGCCUUGAGAGCAGAGGUCUGUUGUUUAACAUCAUCUUCGAGUGUACCCUAGCACGGCGGUCUCGGCUGGAGAGAUUUUCUGUGUGCUGAACUUAGAUGGAUAUGUCAAAGUGUACUCAAGCUUUCUUGAACUUUUUCCCCAUCUGAAAUCACUAAAAAUGUGCAGUAUUUCAAAAAGCCCAAGUUUGCCUCCAAAUAUGCUUGUGAAAUGUAUUUCAACACACAUAUCCAACAGUAAGAACAUGCUGGCCAUAUCAAUCCUCACAGCAACUCUUUAUUGCAGCAUAUUGAGGUUUAAUCAGGAAACAGGUUAGAGCUUCUAUGUACAGGUUUUCUUCUAGUUUGAGGUUUUCCUGAAAUAUGUGACACAGACUCGUUAUACAAAUGGCCACUAGUAAAUUAUUUCCAGCAUGUGUUACUCUGUCAACAGUGAUGCUUUCACAGAACCUUUGUCCUCCACAAUUCCCCCCCUCCAUUUAAACCAGGACAUUUCCAUCUCAGUGAGCCACUGCUGUAUUUGGGACCUAAGCGAGAAGCUGGAUAAACAGAGGCGCUAUUAUUAUUGUUACUGUCAAUAUAGUUUCCUUCCCUAGUUAUAACUGAUUAUUUCCUUUUUUCCAUUUCAAAACAUUUUUGUUCAAAUGCUUCUGAUGGCUCUCGUCACAAGCAAUAUUCCUUCGGAAAUAAUGCACCUUUUUAAUUUCUCAACCUAAAAUACACAGCCCGUCAUCUCCAUAGUAGGAUGAUGCUGUUAGAGAGAUCAGCUGUGUCUAGUUGGAGAAUUUUUAGGGGAAUAAGGGAUUACAGGAGCGAGUGCUUCCUCUAUUAGUUCGUGCAAAGUGAAGACAAGAAAGAAAGUCUGUAGGAUGUAAGAGGUGAUGUUACUCCAGCAAGAGUUGGGCAUUUGGAAACACAUGGAGUUAAAAGCAGUUUUCACUUAAUGUGCUUUGUUGUUUCUGCUACAAUAAAAAUAAAUAAUAAAAA
rnacentral:lncRNA from 1 species